AUUGAACGCUGGCGGCAUGCCUAACACAUGCAAGUCGAACGGCAGCGCGGGGGCAACCCUGGCGGCGAGUGGCGGACGGGUGAGGAAUACAUGGGAAUCUACCCUGUCGUGGGGGAUGACGUAGGGAAACUUACGCUAAUACCGCAUACGACCGAGAGGUGAAAGCGGCGGACCGCAAGGCGUCGCGCGGAAGGAUGAGC
rnacentral:rRNA from 1 species